GGGAUGCCUCAGCUUGUUGUUUGUUAGACUUCUUCAAAGUGACUAACUUUCACCUUUCUGUUUAGGAAUCCUGUUGUCAUAAAGUAUUGCCCUACACAUGCUUGAUAAUAAUGCAGUGAGGAGCCAGUGCAAAGGAGAUGACCAAAAGGGAAGAAAAAGGAAAAAAAGUCUGCUUUUACAAUUGAUGUUCCUCCAUUCUGAAAUGUUUUGAUGGUAGAUAGCUUAAGAAGAAGGCAAGAAGCCAACUGUUGACUUACAGUACUUAGCAACAAGUUAGUGCUUGGAGGGAAUGUGUCCUGCCUUUGGAGCAGCUGACUUAGUUGGGAGUUUUUGAAAAGUGUGUCUGCAUUAUAGCUAGACCUUGGGUACUUGGCAGUGACAUUAUGAUGAAAUUGUUGGCAUCCUUUGUGACUUACGUAUAUUCUAUGACUUGACUUUUUAAACUCACUCUAUGAGGGGGCUGUAGGGAUAAAAGCAGGCAGUGAAUAGACAACCAGACCUCUUGGAGGAGUGGAGAACAGAGGAGGAGGAAGGUUUCUGAGCUGAGCUCCAGAAUUGGGAAUCAAGAAGCAUGGAUGCUCACAGAAGAGGGCUGAAGCAGUGUUUGGAAAAUAAGUGAUUAAAUAAGCAUAAAACAUUGUUUGUUCCAGAAAUAUCAGGUGCCUUUGCCUCUACCUGGAAUGACAGAGAGCUAAGUCUUCUUAUGUUCAGGUGGUGCAAGUAGAUGAUAGCUUUAUCACUAAUCCUUAUGCUCUAGGGUUUUAUCACUGAACCUUGUGCCCUAGGAUUUUUUUCUCUAUGGAAGGUUUCCCUGCACUACUACUCUACCUGGUUCUGCAAGGAAAAACGGUCUGGCCAAAAAGACAGAGGUACUACCUGGACCCUGGCUGAUAGCCUAGAUAACCCAUUGCAGCAGAGGAUCUGUACACCCCAAAUCCUGAACUUUUCUAGGAACAGAAAUGUAACUGCCUGGGAAACGGGAAGCAUUUUUGUCCCUAUAUGAGGCAGUGCAGUUGUCUGUGUAAAAUAUAAAUGUGAUGGCCAUCAUCCAGGUCUGGAUCAAAAAGCAACCACAUCAGAACCCCACUCUUCAGCAGGUGAUAGCUUCCUGAGAGAUACCAGUAACUGAAUGGGUAAGGAGAGAGAGACCAUAUCUGGAACUGCAGGAGGACUCUGAUGAGAAGUGGUUACAGUUACAGCCAAGUUGUAUCUGCUCUGCCUCAAAGAAGGCUUUCAUCUCUGCAAUCAGUGGUCAGAAAAGAAAGAGCUUCAUUGCUAUUAAAGCCAACAGGAUCACCUGCUUUGGUCCCCUGUGUGAAACAGGUGGUAGAUAUAAGACAGCUUUUAUUGUUUACUUUGACAAACUAAAUUUCUUUAAGUGGGUUACUUUGGUAUGUUUUAAUUUUGUAAGCAGUUUUUCCAUCUCAGUGUCGUUAUGUGCAUUAGUAGUCACUGAUGAAUGAAUAAAAGUAUCUCAAUUACGUGCAUGGCAAAUUAAA